rnacentral:rRNA from 1 species
GACGAACGCUGGCGGCGUGCCUAAUACAUGCAAGUUGAGCGCUGAAGGUUGGUACUUGUACCAACUGGAUGAGCAGCGAACGGGUGAGUAACGCGUGGGGAAUCUGCCUUUGAGCGGGGGACAACAUUUGGAAACGAAUGCUAAUACCGCAUAAAAACUUUAAACACAAGUUUUAAGUUUGAAAGAUGCAAUUGCAUCACUCAAAGAUGAUCCCGCGUUGUAUUAGCUAGUUGGUGAGGUAAAGGCUCACCAAGGCGAUGAUACAUAGCCGACCUGAGAGGGUGAUCGGCCACAAUGGGACUGAGACACGGCCCAAACUCCUACGGGAGGCAGCAGUAGGGAAUCUUCGGCAAUGGACGAAAGUCUGACCGAGCAACGCCGCGUGAGGGAAGAAGGUUUUCGGAUCGUAAAACUCUGUUGGUAGAGAAGAACGUUGGUGAGAGUGGAAAGCUCAUCAAGUGACGGUAACUACACAGAAAGGGACGGCUAACUACGUG